CAAGCCGGGUGGACAUCGCUGAGGCUUGGAAAAGAUUUCCUCCGGGGAAAAUCCCUCCGGAGUUCUCCAGUCUGGUGUCAGGGAGGAAUACUAAAGAAGAAGGAGAAAUUCAAGGUACAAGAGAGGCAAAGAAUGUUGCUCCUACAAAGGAACUCUCCUGACAGAAGUCCACAGAGGACAGAUGGAUGGGGAUGAUUUCCACACUAGUUCCUAACUUUAAAUAAAACCAAGCCUGCAGCGUGUCAUCCUGCAUCUCUGAAACUGAAGCCAACUUGAUCAGCGUGGAUAAUCUUUCUGAUAUUUUCUGGAAUUUCGUUUGGAAACAUGUCCUUCAACAGAGGAAUGGAUACAGAAAUUGUGGUACAUUUACACAAUGGAGUACUACUCAGCUAUUAAAAACAAUGAAUUAAUGAAAUUCUUAGGCAAAUGUAUGGAACAGAACAUUUCAUCCCGAGUGAGGUAACCCAGUCACAAAAGAACACACAUGGUAUGCACUCACUGAUAAGUGGAUAUUAGCCCAGAAGCUCAGAAUACUCAAGAUACAAUUCACAGACCACAUGAAGCUCAAGAAGAAGGAAAGCCAAAGUUUGGCUGCUUUGGUCCUGCUUAGAAGGGGGAACAAAAUACUCAUGGGAGCAAAUAUGGAGACAAAGUGUGGAGCAGAGACAGAAGGAAUGACCAUCCAGAGACUGCCACACCUGGGGAUCCAUCCCAUAUACAGUCACCAACCCCAGACACUAUUGUCGACACCAAGAAGUGCAUGCUGACAGGAGCCUAAUAUAGCUGUCUCUUGAGAGGCUCUGCCAGAGCCUGAUAAAUACAGAAUGAUGCUCGCAACCAACCUUUGAAGUGAGCAUAGGGUCCCCAAUGGAGGAGUUAGGGGAAGGACUAAAGGAGCUGAAGAAGUUUGCAACCCCAUAGGAAGAACAAAAUUAUCAACCAACCAGACGCCCCCAGAGCUCCCAGGGACUAAACCACUAACCAAGGACUACACAUGGAGGAACCCAUGGGUCCAGUGCAUAUGUAGCAGAGGAUGGCCUUGCUGGUCAUCAAUGGGUAAAGAGGCCCUUGGUCUGGUGAAGGUUCGAUGCCCCAGUGUAGAGGAAUGCAAGGGCAGGGAAGCAGGAGUGGGUGGGUGGGGGAAGCUCCCUCAUAGAAGCAAGGGGCGGGGGAUGUUUCCUGAGUCCUAAUGGAAGGAUUUGAUGAAGACAUCCCAUUUAGGAGCACUUUCAUAAGUGAUUGGUUGUGUACAGAUUUUGAGCUUUGCAGUUAUACAUGCCAUCUUCUGAACAUGACUAAGAAGAUGCCCAGGAUGAAGUUGGGGAAGCAGAAAGAUCAGUGAGAGCAACCUGAACUUGGAAAUGCUGUCUGAAUUUUUAUUCUUUAAUUAUACAUCUAGAGCUGCCUGGGUGCUUGCAAAAUGCCUGUUCCUGGAUCCCAGCCUAUGCUGACACUAUUACAGUCUCUGGAAGCAGAAAAAGAACAGGUGUUUGUAGCCAGAAUCGGAUGAUCCUUUGACUCACAACACUGGGAACAUUUGAUGUGAGAUGUAAGGGGAGGUGAAUGGACAGAAUCCCAUCAGUAGCUAAGGAGCUAUUGGCAAAUGAUAGCUGCUGGGAAAGGGAGCAUCAGUUUUCUUUAGUGGUGUGACCCUAGGAAACACGGUGGCAGAAAAUGGAUUGACUACAAAAGAGAAAUAAAAUAUUAAUUUUCAUUCUUAGUUGUGAACUCAUAAAAUGGAGUACUUCAAACUGGUAAAUUUUAUUGAACGUAAAUUAUAUUUUGAUACUGUGGACUGAAAAUACUUAGGGGAGAAAUUAAAACUUAGAUAAAAAAAUAAGGAACACUCUUCAGGAUUGUUAAGGACUUUGUGCAGUGUAAUUUUAUUUCAAAUUGACACAGGUAGAGUUAUCAGAGUGGAAAGAGCCUCGACUGAGAAAACACCUCCAUAAGGUCAGGCUGAAGGUCUGCACUGUUCUCCCUGGGCCACAGCUAUGCCUGCUUCCCUGGAGGCCUGCUGCCAUCCAGGACAACGAGGUGGAGAUGUGUUAAAACUCAGAAGUCCUGUUCUAGAGUGACUCUCUUACUACACAGAGCAUCCCUUGCCAUUGAAGAGGUAAAACUUAAUUCCCGGCAGGCAGCCCAAUGUGGGAGCGAGCGUCAGCCAUGCUGCGGAAGGCAGAAUAAAGUGUCUUCCUGGGAGGAGCAAUGUCCAAAAUGUGGUCUUUCUACUGGUGAAAGGUGGAUAUUGGAAUCACCUACAGUUGAUAGCGGCCAGAAGAAAGACACCCAAGCAACUGCCGCAGGCCAGUCAGCCCUAUGGAAGCUGGAAGAAAGAUACCCAAGUGCCCGGCCAUACUGACCCUGAAAGAAAGACAUACAAACACCUGCCUCUGGAAUCACUGUUAUUUGAAUGUGUGCUGGGGAUAUGGAAAAGACAAGAGUACAUGGUGGAGAGGUGGAAGAGAAAAUGAAGCCAAGGUGUUUGUAUAUUGUAGAGAAAGGUAGAACUAGAGAUGGUAGUGAGGAACAGGGAGAUAUGAGGACGCCAUAGUGAGUUCCUACCCUGGGAUGCCACUAAGGGCCAUGUUUGCAUCCAUGGUCCUGUUGCAGCUGGGGUCGUUGCUGAUGUCUUGGCCCGAGUUACCAUCAAAGACCAAGUGGAUGUCCCAUGGUCUAGGUUGCCACUGGAAAACGUGUGGAUAUCUGAGGGUCAUGCUGCUUAGGGAAGACUUGCUCAUCUUCGUGGCCUGCCCUGUCACAUGAGGCCAUAGGGACAUUUGGGCCCAGACUAGUUCAAUGGGCUAUGUCUUGGUCCUUGACUUCAUGGCAGCUGAGGUCUGUGUUGAUGUCCCAGUCUCAUGAAUUACCAAAGGCCAUGCAGAUAUCCCUAGUCUGGAAUGCUGCCUGAGUACUAUGCUGAGCUGGAGUGUGUGGGGUGAUCAGCCCCAAAGGUGUGACUGGGGGAGAGCUGGCCCGGGGCCCUGCCUCUUAUCUGCCCCACAACAGUGGCAGAGAUAGCUAGGGCAGUACCUCCCAGGGCACAGAAGAGCUGAUGGGCUAACUAGCUCAAUUACCUGCGCAGAUCUAGGGCAGUGAGUUGGCCCACUCCAACAUAGUUCUAUCCCAACUAUAAACUGCUGGGGCAUGUGAAAGGGCUGGUUUUGCAGAUCCAAAGCAGCAGGAUCUCCAUGGCAUGGGGCUGAAACAGAAUAUCCAAGCCGUGUCCCGGUGAGGAUCCAGUAUAUAUAGUAUAGCAGAAGCCAGAGACCUUGAAACAGACCAUGACUUAUUGCAAGGAACAUUUCCAAGUGAAAAUAUAUGGACAAAAGGGUGUACCAUGCGACACAACAGCUUCCAGAGCAAGAUUUUUUUUUUUUUAAUUCUGUCUCCUUUUCUUUUCUUUUGUUGGGGGAGGUUGUAAGGGCAGAGGGCAGAGAACAGAUAUGAAGGGAUGGGGAAAUGAGUGAAAUUGGGGUAUGCGAUGUAAAACACACAAAAUAAUCAAUAAAAAUUUAAAAAACAU
rnacentral:lncRNA from 1 species